ensembl:snoRNA U3 Small nucleolar RNA U3
AAGACUGCUUUCAGGGAUCAUGUCUACGGUUUGCUUCUGGAGAAGUUUUUCUGCACAUGUCAGACACCAGAAGCACGAGGAGGCACAGCAUUCUCUCCUGAGCAGGAAGCUAGCUCUUGGUGUUUCUCGGCUCCAACUGCCAUUUGCCGUUGAUUAUGUUCUUCUCUUCCUUCCAGAAAGUAAAAGGGAGAAGAUGCAGUCUGAGUGGU